UUCUUUGUAAGAAGGCAAUAGAAAUGUUUGGAAUUAAUGAGUUCUUUUUAAAAAAAAUUUUACUCAGGUUCCAAUAGUUGCACUCACUGCUACUGCAAGUUCUUCGAUCCAGGAAGAUAUUAUACAUUGCUUAAAACUGAGCAAUCCUCAGAUUACCUGUACUAGUUUUGAUCGACCAAAUCUGUAUUUAGAAGUUGGACGAAAAACAGGGAAUAUUCUUCAAGAUCUACAGCCAUUUCUUGUCAAAAAGACAAGUUCUGAAUGGGAAUUUGAAGGUCCAACUAUCAUCUAUUGUUCUUCCAGAAAAAUGACAGAAAAAGUUACUGCUGAACUUAGGAAACUAAAUUUAGCCUGUGGAACCUACCAUGCAGGCAUGAGUUUUAACACAAGGAAAGAUGUUCAUCACAGGUUCAUGAGGGAUGAAAUUCAGGUGUGAAUAUCAUCAUUUCUCUUUAUGCCUCAUAGUGGAAAUAAAUAUUUCUCAAACUGUUGCAGACUAGUUUAAAUAGCAGGCUGUACCUAUUGUGUAGGUCCAUAGAGCAGGGAGCACUAGCUCUGUCGAGAUAGGUUGUAUAAUCCAGGAAGACGCAAUUUGAGUAAAGUCAGAAUGUGUAAAUAGAAGUUUGUCCAGUUUACGAGAUCAAUCGGUGAUAAGGGCAAUGAAAUUUGUUCUAGCAUUCCAGGAAGAAAGACUAGCAGGUGCAG
rnacentral:lncRNA from 1 species